rnacentral:rRNA from 1 species
UACGUAGGGGGCAAGCGUUGUCCGGAUUUAUUGGGCGUAAAGAGCGUGUAGGCGGCAUUACAGGUCCGUUGUGAAAACUCGAGGCUCAACCUCGAGACGCCGGUGGAAACCGUAAAGCUAGAGUCCGGAAGAGGAGAGUGGAAUUCCUGGUGUAGCGGUGAAAUGCGCAGAUAUCAGGAAGAACACCCGUGGCGAAGGCGGCUCUCUGGGACGGUACUGACGCUGAGACGCGAAAGCGUGGGGAGCGAACAGG